GAACUGAAGAGUUUGAUCAUGGCUCAGAUUGAACGCUGGCGGCAGGCCUAACACAUGCAAGUCGAGCGGAUGAAGGGAGCUUGCUCCUGGAUUCAGCGGCGGACGGGUGAGUAAUGCCUAGGAAUCUGUCUGGUAGUGGGGGAUAACGUCCGGAAACGGGCGCUAAUACCGCAUACGUCCUGAGGGAGAAAGUGGGGGAUCUUCGGACCUCACGCUAUCAGAUGAGCCUAGGUCGGAUUAGCUAGUUGGU
rnacentral:rRNA from 1 species